UACAGAGGUCCCAAGCGUUGUUCGGAUUCAUUGGGCGUAAAGGGUGCGUAGGCGGCGCGGUAAGUCGGGUGUGAAAUCUCGGAGCUUAACUCCGAAACUGCAUUCGAUACUGCCGUGCUUGAGGACUGGAGAGGAGACUGGAAUUUACGGUGUAGCGGUGAAAUGCGUAGGAUAUCGUAAGGAAGACCAGUGGCGAAGGCGGGUCUCUGGACAGUUCCUGACGCUGAGGCACGAAGGCUAGGGGAGCAAACGGG
rnacentral:rRNA from 1 species